CACGUAGGGUGCGAGCGUUGUCCGGAAUUAUUGGGCGUAAAGAGCUCGUAGGCGGUGUGUCGCGUCGGCCGUGAAAACCUGCAGCUUAACUGUGGGCUUGCGGUCGAUACGGGCAUCACUGGAGUUCGGCAGGGGAGACUGGAAUUUCUGGUGUAGCGGUGAAAUGCGCAGAUAUCAGGAGGAACACCGGUGGCGAAGGCGGGUCUCUGGGCCGAUACUGACGCUGAGGAGCGAAAGCGUGGGUAGCAAACAGG
rnacentral:rRNA from 1 species